GACGUAGGGAGCGAGCGUUGUCCGGAUUCAUUGGGCGUAAAGAGCGCGUAGGCGGCCGUGCAAGUCGGUUGUGAAAUCCCGGGGCUCAACCCCGGGACUGCGUCCGAUACUGUGCGGCUCGAGGCAGGUAGGGGAGAGUGGAAUUCCCGGUGUAGCGGUGAAAUGCGCAGAUAUCGGGAGGAACACCGGUGGCGAAGGCGGCUCUCUGGACCUGUCCUGACGCUGAGGCGCGAAAGCUAGGGGAGCGAACAGG
rnacentral:rRNA from 1 species